UCGGGGAUCGUCUAACGGUAGGACAUCUGACUCUGGAUCAGAGAAUUGGGGUUCGAAUCCCUGUCCCCGAG
rnacentral:tRNA from 1 species